GUAGGUGGCAAGCGUUGUCCGGAGUUAUUGGGCGUAAAGCGCGCGCAGGCGGUUCUUUAAGUCUGAUGUGAAAGCCCACGGCUCAACCGUGGAGGGUCAUUGGAAACUGGAGAACUUGAGUACAGAAGAGGAAAGCGGAAUUCCACGUGUAGCGGUGAAAUGCGUAGAGAUGUGGAGGAACACCAGUGGCGAAGGCGGCUUUCUGGUCUGUAACUGACGCUGAGGCGCGAAAGCGUGGGGGAGCAAACAGGAUUAGAUACCCUGGUAGUCCACGCCGUAAACGAUGAGUGCUAAGUGUUAGGGGGUUUCCGCCCCUUAGUGCUGCAGCUAACGCAUUAAGCACUCCGCCUGGGAGUACGGCCGCAAGGCUG
rnacentral:rRNA from 1 species